GCCCCCAUAGUAUAAUCAAUUACC
rnacentral:tRNA from 1 species